rnacentral:lncRNA from 1 species
UGAAGUGUGUAAAGCCCAGCUCUGAUUUUUGGGUUGUACCACACAUCAUUGUCCAUCUCAGAGAAUAAGAGCAUGUCCUUCAGCAAGAAAUCGUCUGCUUAAUUUUGACCUAGAGGUAAGAAGAUUGACAAGGCACCACUAAAUCAUCUAAAUCAAAACCUUUUGGCCUCUGCUUUCACUAUGUAUGAGUACCUGCAUGGUGUGAGCAGAUCAUUCAAUCAGUACACAAAAAAGGAUAAUGUUCUAAAAAUGUACACAACAAGGAAUAAAGCAGUUCCAUUAUUUAUCUACUUAUCUACUAAACAUACCGUCAUAUAAAUCCACCAGAUGGUCAAUUUUUUCACACCUAUUCUCAAAAAAUCCUGUACAUACCCAAAAAAGUGUCCAACAGGGAGCAUAUUCAAAAAAUCUACAGCUCCAUGAAAAAAUGCCCUUCUCCAUGGUGACCAAGCAAGCUCAUGAAGUUCUUGUGAUUUAAUAUAAAUAAACAUGUGAUGUGGAAGUAAAACCAUUGGAAAUAAUAUGAAGUGGAUAACGUGUAUAUACUCAAGUUGUAGGUAAUUCUGCAUACUACAAUUACUACCUCAUGUCCUCAUCCUUGGUGAGGAGGGGAAGUUGGAGGAGGCUCUCUCGAGAGGCUCGGCAUUAGCUGCAAUCAUCUACACAACAUGAAAAUAAAGAUCAAACCUUGGCAACAGAAACCACAGGAAACCUGAAAUUAUGGACUAAACAAAAAGAGAUAAGUUGGGGAGCAAUUUAGGUCGCCAGACUGAUGAGCUCCUACAUAUGCAUGAUUUUACAAAGUAGCAAAUGUGAUACCUUGGUGCUGCCUUCAGUUUUGAACGACUCAGAGACCAUUCUGUUCCCUCUAGCAAAUAUGUUAACAUAACUAUAUGGACAAUGCAUUUCUAAACAUUGACCAAAGCAUCCAUGCAGUCAGAACUAAAAGCAUCUAAUUGUUCUGUUCUAAACUGUUUUAAUGUCUGCACUUUGGUGUAGUUGCACCUUGGUGUCAUGAACUGAAUUAUGGUUGAAGAAUAAGAAAGUAAAACCUAGAAAGAUCUACCAUGCAUACACAACAAAUCUGUACCAAAACCAUACUUUUGACAUGCAAGACGGGGUCAUUUUUUCAUGUACUGUAUAUUAGUGCAUUACUUAUACAUCAGAUAUCAAAUUAAGCGGAAGUCGGUAGAAAUUAGUAGAAGUGGACAACAAAAAUUAGCAGCCCAUCAUCAUACCGCUAAAUAACAAGGCGCAUCGGCCAUCCACUUGAUUUUUUUUGCGGGU